rnacentral:rRNA from 1 species
CUAAGAAUCUUCCGCAAUGGGGGGAACCCUGACGGAGCGACGCCGCGUGGACGAAGAAGGCCGGAAGGUUGUAAAGUCCUUUUCCUGGGGGAGAAUAAAGUCCGGAGGGAAUGCCGGUCAGAUGACGUGAACCAGGGAAUAAGCCCCGGCUAAUUACGUGCCAGCAGCCGCGGUAACACGUAAGGGGCGAGCGUUGUUCGGAUUUAUUGGGCGUAAAGGGCGUGUAGGCGGUGAGAUAAGUCUGGUGUGAAAGAUCCCGGCUCAACCGGGAGAGCGCGCUGGAAACUGGUUUACUUGAGUGAUGGAGGGGGAGCUGGAAUUCCUGGUGUAGGGGUGAAAUCUGUAGAGAUCAGGAAGAACACCGGAGGCGAAGGCGAGCUCCUGGCCAUUUACUGACGCUGAGGCGCGAAAGCGUGGGGAGCGAACA